CACGUAGGGGGCAAGCGUUGUCCGGAUUUAUUGGGCGUAAAGAGCGCGCAGGCGGUCGAUCAAGUCGAGUGUGAAAGCCCCCGGCUCAACUGGGGAGGGUCAUUCGAUACUGAUCGACUCGAAGGCAGGAGAGGGUAGUGGAAUUCCCGGUGUAGUGGUGAAAUGCGUAGAUAUCGGGAGGAACACCAGUGGCGAAGGCGACUACCUGGCCUGUUCUUGACGCUGAGGCGCGAAAGCUAGGGGAGCAAACGGG
rnacentral:rRNA from 1 species